rnacentral:rRNA from 1 species
CGCCAGGGAACUACGAGCUAAGCUUAAAACCCAAAGGACUUGACGGUGCUCCAUCCACCUAGAGGAGCCUGUUCUAUAAUCGACAAUCCCCGCCACACCUCACCUACCCUUGCCCUAUCAGCCUGUAUACCUCCGUCGCAAGCUUACCAUCUGAAUGCUAGUGAGCCCAAGGAUUAAAACACCAGUACGUCAGGUCAAGGUGCAGCCAAUGAGUAGGAAAGAAAUGGGCUACAGUUUCUAAAAUAGAAUAAACGAAAAGUUGUAUGAAACAACAGCUAGAAGGCGGAUUUAGUAGUAAGAAGAGAACAACGUGCUCUUCUUAACAAGGCACUGGAGCGUG